CUACGGGCCGCUGCAGUGAGGAAUAUUGCACAAUGGGGGGAACCCUGAUGCAGCAACGCCGCGUGGAGGAUGACGCAUUUCGGUGUGUAAACUCCUUUUAUAUGUCAAGAAAAUGACGGUAGCAUAUGAAUAAGCACCGGCUAACUCCGUGCCAGCAGCCGCGGUAAUACGGAGGGUGCAAGCGUUACUCGGAAUCACUGGGCGUAAAGGACGCGUAGGCGGGGUGGAAAGUCAGGUGUGAAAUCCUACAGCUUAACUGUAGAACUGCACUUGAAACUUCUAAUCUAGAGUAUGGGAGGGGGAGAUGGAAUUAGUGGUGUAGGGGUAAAAUCCGUAGAUACCACUAGGAAUACCUAAAGCGAAGGCGAUCUCCUGGAACAUUACUGACGCUAAAGCGUGAAAGCGUGGGGAGCAAACAGGAUUAGAUACUCGUAGUC
rnacentral:rRNA from 1 species